AGCAGGCCCCUCCAAGAACCCGUGACGAGGUUUGGUACGUCACACUGACAUUAUAGUGUGAAUUAUUUCCUGUAAUUCACAUAAAUGCCUUGUAUUAUAAAUUACAGGAUUAUGUUGAACUGGGGCUCACACUCACAUCUGCCUUCACAUUUUAAAAAUUCUAUUGUCGCCCCAUGUUUCGUUACCAAAGUUAAACGUGUUCAUAGUGUUUAUUUCUCAUAGAUAAAACCAAUGACAACGAACAGCUGCAAAACUAGUGUACACCGAAAAGACUAUGUUUUGUGCCCAUGUUUUUUCUGAUU